rnacentral:rRNA from 1 species
AUUCCAGCUCCAAUAGCGUAUAUUAAAGUUGUUGCAGUUAAAAAGCUCGUAGUUGGAUUUCUGGUUUGAACGUCCGGUCCGCUUACUUCUAGUAAGUGCGUACUAUGGAUGUUUGGGCCAUUUUUUGUGAGGAAAUUCUUCUGCCAUUAAGUUGGUGGUUUUAUGGACUCGCAUCGUUUACUGUGAAAAAAUUAGAGUGUUUAAAGCAGGCGUUUGCUCAUUUGAAUACAUUAGCAUGGAAUAAUAUGAUACGACCUUGGUGGUCUAUUUUGUUGGUUUGCACGCCAGGGUAAUGAUUAAUAGGGACAGUUGGGGGUAUUCAUAUUUCAGCGUCAGAGGUGAAAUUCUUGGAUCGCUGAAAGAUGAGCUUAGGCGAAAGCAUUUACCAAGGAUGUUUUCAUUG